UGGUACAUGACCCAUUCCUUCAAGAAUCUAGCUCCGUUUCGUAGCAUUGUGCAGACGCAGAUCUCGUGCUCUUUUCGGGCCGAAUCCGGAUGCGGACACGCCCGACCGAUCAUCCUCGGGCGGGCUAUGGAGGGUAAUGUUCCACUAUCUCCGUUCCCUUUCACUCUUACGGAGACUUUGAUCGAAUUGUUGUUGACUCUUUGUUGACCGUUCAACAGGCUCAUGGGAGUUUUGCACCGUACAAUCUCCUGUGCAACGGAGACACCCUCUGAUCUUAGCAGCAACUUGGGCUUAGUGAAGUCCCAGCCGUACACGCACUCAUAUCUCGAAGCAUUGGAGAGUUUCUCUGGC
rnacentral:lncRNA from 1 species